rfam:Danio rerio chromosome 4, GRCz11 reference primary assembly.
GCCUCGUUGGCGCAUUAGGCAGCGCGUCAGUCUCAUAAUCUGAAGGUGGUGAGUUCGAGCCUCACACAGGGCA